rnacentral:lncRNA from 1 species
UAGAAGUCAAAGUUGCUAAGUUUUGAAGAAUGCUGGAUUACAUAGCCCCUUGAUCAGUUUGAUAUGCAGUUGUAGUUUGGAAAAAAUGUGAAAAAUAAUAAAUUGUGCAAUCUCAAAAAAAGGAAGUAGCAAGCAAAAAAACUCAGUCUUGAGAUAAGAAAAAAUGAAAAAUAAAAAAGGACAAAAAGGUCUCGAGUUAGUUGC